UUUACUUAUUUGGAGAUUAAAUUAAAGUGCACCAUAAUCAAAGAAAAUCAGGUUUUCUAAAAAAAAAAAAGUCAAAUGAAAAGAGCAUGUUCAAUAUAAAACAAAUAUGUGAACACUUCAACACGUGGAUGCAUACAUUUUGCAAACUCCAAGUUGAACCUGCUGCAGUUUCCCUCCCCCACCCCUCUGUUCGUGUGUAUGUGUGUGUGUGUUAAGCACACAUCCCUCACAGCGCCUCAUUCAACUCAUGAACGCGCGGCAUUUGCAAACACGUGCUAAUGACGCAAUCAAUUGGAGACGCCUUUUCCCGCGAACUCAUCUCUCCAGGGAGAGCAGUCUUUAUAGGAAACAUGCCCUUUGUCUUCAUGCUGGGAGUAAGAAAAAACAGAAAGCGUAAAAUACCUCAAGAGGAUGCAGAACAUUACAUUUGUUGUAAAAGUGACAAACCUGCAAGUGCAAUUCAUCAACAAUUACAAAGCAUGGAUGCAUCGAAAGAAGAUGGGUCUUAAGGGAGACUUGUAAAUGAUGACCACAAAGCUCCUAACUGCAAAAUGAAAAUCAUAUCUUUGCUGUGUGCAACAUACUUCCAGGAGAAGAUAUAACCUACAAUUAUGGAGAUUCUGGUUAUGUCCCAUAAUGUUCCGUCUCCUCACCUGCUUUGGACAACGUGAAGAUGAGUGAUCCUCACAAACAAACUGAGCCACAACAGUCAGACAAAGCAAGAAGAUCAGGGAAUAAGACGGUAACCCUUUCAUUCAGGCACCAGGUAGCCUAUCUAGUGAUAUUUGCUGCUAAGUGAACAGGGCAGAGUAACCAGAACAAGGUAAGACAGACCCUUUGGCAGGUUUAUUUAAAAUGUAAUCUUGUUCUAACUAUAUAACAUCAUACAAUUGUGUCUUAAAGCAAUUUAUUUAAAGAUGAAAGGAUAGCUCAAUUAUGUAUUUUCACAUGCCAGAUAUUCUGGAGUUAAUUCAUACAGUAUGACCAAUAGUACACAUACAGAUUUUACUAUAAAAGAUUGGUUAAUUACUGGCAAGUGAUAGUUGGACUGCAUAGUUAAUCGUAAAAAGAUGGCGAUCUCGAUUCGAACCCCUGAACGUCGAUGCGUGAACGACAUUUAAAUGACCAUAUUGCAGUUUGGAGUUAUGUUUACUACAAGAUAGGGUUGUGCCGAUUGACACUAGUGUUGUGUAUCGAUGAUAGGGAGAGAUAUCACAGAGAGCUGAGGCCUGACUAUUUUAAAGAUGAUGUUUGGCUCAUUUCACAUUUAUGUAGACCUAUUACAUGUGUUAAAUUCAUUUUUAAAUAAAAGACUUAUUAUUAAUAUUA